GACAGAGCGAGACUCCGUCUCAAAAGAGAGAGAGAGAGGGAGGGAGGGAGAGAGAGAGAGAAAAAAAAAAGAGAGAUGCAGUAACACUCUUUGGAAAAUCAUGAAAAUAAUACAACUACUACUACAAACUUGGAAGACAAUUCCUUUAAUAUUAGGCUGGGGUGGCCCCUGGCAUUGAUAUUAUAUAACAUUGCUUUGGCCCAAAUAAGAGCAGCUGCCUUUUAUCUCCUUUUCGGGGUUCCUCUUAUCUGCCCAUUCCUUAAAUUCUAGUGUGUCCUCCCCUUACCAGUUAGAAUCUUUCAGCUGUAAGUCCAAAAAGCCCUAAGUCAAACACGAACAGGACCAGGGUGAGCUGAGUGAGGCACCUGGGGUGUACAUUUAAGGAGAUGCUCACUCUCAGGGUUGGCAAGUGUAGCAUCAGCAUCCGAGAGUGAGCACCUCCUUCAAUAUUCUGUCCUAGGUGCUCAACUAGGACACAACUUUGGUUCUGGCCAAACUCAGUUGGUACAAACAGUAAAGGCACAUGCUUUCUCAUCUAACACAGGUAGGGGUCUGACUCCUCUUCUCUGCUCUUUUUGAGGCACUGCCCUCCUCUCUGUGUUGGCAUUAUCCUCAAGCAAGUCGGGAGGUGGCUGUAGUGGAUCCAGACAGCACGUGGUACCACACUAUUCAAAGGCAGAAAGGGACUGUCCCUCUGGGAGCCUCCUCAGGAGUAAGAAGCCCCCCAGCAGCAGCAGUCUUCCCCUCAUGCUUCACUGGCAUGCUAGGUUGCAUGCCCACCCUAUCUAAUCACCAUUUCUACUUAUAGUAUUUUCUAGUUUUUUUUGUUUUUUGUUU
rnacentral:lncRNA from 1 species